rnacentral:rRNA from 1 species
UUCCUUCGCGGGUACCGUCAUCCAUAAGACUAUUCGCCUUAUGGGGUUUCGUCCCCGCUGACAGAGCUUUACAACCCGAAGGCCUUCAUCACUCACGCGGCGUUGCUGCGUCAGGCUUUCGCCCAUUGCGCAAUAUUCCUCACUGCUGCCUCCCGUAGGAGUCUGGCCCGUGUUCCAGUGCCAAUGUGGCCGUUCACCCUCUCAGGCCGGCUACCCAUCAAAGCCUUGGUAGGCCGUUACCCUACCAACUAGCUAAUGAGCCGCGGGCUUAUCUAUGAGCGCUUGCUUGAGUCAGAGGCAAGCUUUUACCACGAAGCUUGUGUCCCGUGGUCUUAUCCGGUAUUAGCCCCGGUUUCCCGAGGUUAUCCCGAACUCAAAGGUAAAUUACCCACGUGUUACUCACCCGUUCGCCACUUUACUAGCUCCCCGAAGGGAACAUUCUCGUACGACUUGCAUGUGUUAGGCACGCCGCUAGCGUUAGUUCUGAGCCAGGAUCAAACUCUAAUCACUAGUGAAUUCGCGGCCGCCUGCAGGUCGACCAUAUGGGAGAGCUCCCAACGCGUUGGAUGCAUAGCUUGAGUAUUCUAUAGUGUCACCUAAUAGCUUGCK